GACGAACGCUGGCGGCGUGCUUAACACAUGCAAGUCGAACGGAAAGGCCCUGCUUUUGUGGGGUGCUCGAGUGGCGAACGGGUGAGUAACACGUGAGUAACCUGCCCUUGACUUUGGGAUAACUUCAGGAAACUGGGGCUAAUACCGGAUAGGAGCUCCUGCUGCAUGGUGGGGGUUGGAAAGUUUCGGCGGUUGGGGAUGGACUCGCGGCUUAUCAGCUUGCUGGUGGGGUAGUGGCUUACCAAGGCUUUGACGGGUAGCCGGCCUGAGAGGGGGACCGGCCACAUUGGAACUGAGAUGCGGCCCAGACUCCUACGGGAGGCAGCGGUGGGGAAUAUUGCACAGUGGGCGGAAGCCUAAUGCAGCAACGCCGCGUGCGGGAUGACGGCCUUCGGGUUGUAAACCGCUUUCGCCUGUGACGAAGCGUGAGUGACGGUAAUGGGUAAAGAAGCACCGGCUAACUACGUG
rnacentral:rRNA from 1 species